rnacentral:misc_RNA from 1 species
GAUGAAGAACGCAGCGAAAUGCGAUAAGUAGUGUGAAUUGCAGAAUUCAGUGAAUCAUCGAAUCUUUGAACGCACAUUGCGCCCCUUGGUAUUCCGAGGGGCAUGCCUGUUCGAGCGUCAUUAUAACCCCUCAAGCUCAGCUUGGUGUUGGGGCCUGCUGCACUGGCAGCCCUUAAAAUCAGUGGCGGCGCCAUCUGGCUCUAAGCGUAGUAAUUCUUCUCGCUAUGGAGUCCUGGUGGAUGCUUGCCAUCAACCCCCAAUUUUUCUAUGGUUGACCUCGGAUCAGGUAGGGAUACCCGCUGAACUUAAGCAUAUCAAUAAGCGGAGGA